GGGCUUGACAUCCCACGAACCUGCCUGAAAGGGCGGGGUGCCCGCAAGGGAGCGCGGAGACAGGUGGUGCAUGGCUGUCGUCAGCUCGUGUCGUGAGAUGUUGGGUUAAGUCCCGCAACGAGCGCAACCCUCACCCCUAGUUGCCACCGGGUCAUGCCGAGCACUCAAGGGGAACUGCCAGCGUCAAGCUGGAGGAAGGCGGGGAUGACGUCAAGUCAUCAUGCCCCUUACGUCCUGGGCUACACACGUGCUACAAUGGCCGGUACAAAGGGACGCCACACCGCGAGGUAGAGCUAAACCCAAAAAGCCGGUCUAAGUUCAGAUUGGAGUCUGCAACUCGACUCCAUGAAGGAGGAAUCGCUAGUAAUCGCGUAUCAGCACGACGCGGUGAAUACGCUCCCGGGCCUUGUACACACCGCCCGUCACACCACGAAAGCCUGCUGUACUCGAAGUCGCUGAG
rnacentral:rRNA from 1 species